UGACCAUGGGUUUUUAGUACCUGGCC
rnacentral:piRNA from 1 species